rnacentral:rRNA from 1 species
AGAGUUUGAUCAUGGCUCAGGACGAACGCUGGCGGUGUGCUUAACACAUGCAAGUGGCGCGACGAACCAUAGCUUGCUCUGGGGCAAAGCCGCGAACGGGUGAGUAACACGUGGGUAACCUGCCCCGAUGACUGGGACAACCCGGGGAAACCCGGGCUAAUACCCGAUGAUGCAUCCCGGCUCAAGCCCGAGUGCCAAAGGUAGCUCCGGCUUCCGCCUUGGUAGGGGGCCUUCGCUCCUUCUUAUGUUGUCGGGGCACUGUGCUACCAAGGUUGCGAUGGGUAGCUGGCCCUAGACGUCGAUCACACGAUGACGGACUGACAUCGGCCC